AGUGAACGCUGGCGGUAGGCCUAACACAUGCAAGUCGAACGGCAGCACAGUAAGAGCUUGCUCUUACGGGUGGCGAGUGGCGGACGGGUGAGGAAUACAUCGGAAUCUACUUUUUCGUGGGGGAUAACGUAGGGAAACUUACGCUAAUACCGCAUACGACCUACGGGUGAAAGCAGGGGAUCUUCGGACCUUGCGCGAUUGAAUGAGCCGAUGUCGGAUUAGCUAGUUGGGGGGGUAAAGGCCCACCAAGGCGACGAUCCGUAGCUGGUCUGAGAGGAUGAUCAGCCACACUGGAUCUGAGACACGGUCCAGACUCCUACGGGGGGAAGCAGUGGGGAAUAUUGGACAAUGGGCGCAAGCCUGAUCCAGCCAUACCGCGUGGGUGAAGAAGGCCUUCUGGUUGUAAAGCCCUUUUGUUGGGAAAGAAAAGCAGCAGGUUAAUACCCCGCUGUUCUGACGGUACCCAAAGAAUAAGCACCGGCUAACUUCGUG
rnacentral:rRNA from 1 species